AGCUCCAAUAGCGUAUAUUAAAGUUGUUGCAGUUAAAAAGCUCGUAGUUGAACUUCAGGUCUGGUGGGCCGGUCCGCCUCACGGUGUGUACUGGUCGACUGGACCUUACCUCUUGGUGAGCCGUCAUGCCGUUUAUUCGGUGUGGCGGGGAACCAGGACUUUUACUUUGAAAAAAUUAGAGUGUUCAAAGCAGGCCUAUGCCCGAAUACAUUAGCAUGGAAUAAUAGAAUAGGACGUGCGGUUCUAUUUUGUUGGUUUCUAGGAUCGCCGUAAUGAUUAAUAGGGAUAGUUGGGGGCAUUAGUAUUCAGUCGCUAGAGGUGAAAUUCUUGGAUUGACUGAAGACUAACUACUGCGAAAGCAUUUGCCAAGGAUGUUUUCA
rnacentral:rRNA from 1 species